rnacentral:rRNA from 1 species
UACGUAGGUGGCAAGCGUUAUCCGGAAUUAUUGGGCGUAAAGGGUGCGUAGGCGGCCUGUUAAGUUUAAGGUGAAAGCGUGGGGCUUAACCCCAUAAAGCCUUAGAUACUGGCAGGCUAGAGUACUGGAGAGGAAAGUGGAAUUCCAUGUGUAGCGGUAAAAUGCGUAGAUAUAUGGAGGAACACCGGUGGCGAAGGCGGCUUUCUAGACAGUAACUGACGCUGAGGCACGAAAGCGUGGGGAGCAAAUA